UACGGGGGGUGCGAGCGUUGUCCGGAAUCACUGGGCGUAAAGGGCGUGUAGGUGGCCUGAUAAGGGUGUGGUGAAAGUCCGGGGCUUAACCCCGGAUCUGCCGUGCCGACUGUUAGGCUAGAGUGCUGUAGGGGCAGGCGGAAUUCCGGGUGUAGCGGUGGAAUGCGUAGAGAUCCGGAGGAAGACCGGUGGCGAAGGCGGCCUGCUGGGCAGAUACUGACACUGAGGCGCGACAGCGUGGGGAGCAAACAGG
rnacentral:rRNA from 1 species